rfam:Sphaerobolus stellatus SS14 unplaced genomic scaffold SPHSTscaffold_54, whole genome shotgun sequence.
ACUUCCUUGACUCAGUUGGUAGAGCGUUGGUCUCACAGCUUUCUGUGAGGGCGGAGUCGCUUGCAAUCCAAAGGUUGCCAGUUCGAGCCUGGUAGGAAGCA